rnacentral:rRNA from 1 species
AGAGUUUGAUUCCCUGCUCAGAUUGAACGCUGGCGGCAGGCCUAACACAUGCAAGUCGAGCGGUAGAGAGGUGCUUGCACCUCUUGAGAGCGGCGGACGGGUGAGUAAUGCCUAGGAAUCUGCCUAGUGGUGGGGGAUAACGUUCGGAAACGGACGCUAAUACCGCAUACGUCCUACGGGAGAAAGCGGGGGAUCUUCGGACCUCGCGCCAUUAGAUGAGCCUAGGUCGGAUUAGCUAGUUGGUGAGGUAAUGGCUCACCAAGGCGACGAUCCGUAACUGGUCUGAGAGGAUGAUCAGUCACACUGGAACUGAGACACGGUCCAGACUCCUACGGGAGGCAGCAGUGGGGAAUAUUGGACAAUGGGCGAAAGCCUGAUCCAGCCAUGCCGCGUGUGUGAAGAAGGUCUUCGGAUUGUAAAGCACUUUAAGUUGGGAGGAAGGGUAGUAACCUAAUACG